UUUGAGUCAGUCAAACAAACUAAUCGAUUCCAAUCACCCCUCUUCUCGUUCCUUCGAUCCGGCGAAUGCUCGGAACCAAAUCAUCUCCGUCGGUCGGAGGAUCUCCCAGGUGAGAAGCCGGCCCGCCAUGGAGGGCGGACCGAUCCCACCUCGCACCGGUCCCUAGAGGCGGCCGCAGCCGAGGUAUCGGCUGCUUCGGACUCGUCGACCAUGCUGAGGGUUCGGCUAGACUGGUGGACUUCUCACCAACAUAUUAAGUCUUCAUCCAUCCACCUCAGCGACAGUAAUAUGGCACAACAUAAGGGAAAAGUCUGAAUCACGGGAGAAGAGAGAAAUGUUACAGAAGCUACCUUUGAGGAAGAGUUCAUUGAAGAGAAUGCAUCUGACCCUCUCUGAUCAUCGUGAACCUCUUUAGGUUAGUUUUUUUACCCUUCUUUCUUUUACUAUGAUAUGACUAGCCAUAAAUAACAUAAACUCACUAUACAAGAAUAUUCUUGGUCAAUAAAUAAUGAUGAACCUGAUAACACCGAAUUUAGACGAUCGGUCUGAUCUCAUUAAAGUUUGAAUUACAGCCUAAAUAUGAAAAAAAACACUGCUUGCCUUGAAAGAUAACCAGGAACGAGUUCCUGCAGGGGCGACCUGAGAACACAUCACCAGCCAGCACCAGCAGGAGCCAUUCGAGGCUGGUGCAUGUGCUCACAGAUCGCUCCUGUUGGAACCCUGUCUCCAACCCUUCCUCUGCUGCAGCGGCUGCCGUUGUUGCUUCUGAUGUUUUUGAGAUUAUGCUUCUGUUUAUACUGCAACUCCCUCGGGAAACUUGUACUCCAACAGUUUGUGGUGUACUGGAAGCAGCGUUUUUGAUAAAGAGGGAGUACAGUUUGAUAGUACCAUUCUAAUCCAUGCACAUCAAACGAUAAUUUCUUUCUUUUUUAUUUUAUUUUUUAAUUGAUAUCUGAUAUUUAGUUUA